rnacentral:lncRNA from 1 species
CGACGCUGAUGGCGGUGAUUCCCAGGCCGUAGGUGUUGGCAUCUCCGGUGAUUGGAGUGUAGACGAUGGGGGAUUUGGUGGAAGAGGCGGUGGUGCAGAAGAGGGGGUAGCCGGUAGAGGAGGCGGUGGAAGGGAGGCAGUAGGAGAAGAGCUUGUUGUAUUUGUCGGCGGUUUGACUGACGAGGGAUAUUGAGUUUCUGCCCAAGCCCAGCAAUCCGGCGGCACCGGCGAAGUCUUUCCCUUGGUUGUUCUGGCCGCAUCCGAAGUUGAAGUCGUCAAUGCCGUCAGCUGGUGUCAAGGUGAGUUUCUCUGAAGCGAAGAAGCCUUUUGAGAAUGACGAGUCUCCGUAUUUGACCUGGUACACGCAUGUCGACGAUGAACAAUCCCUAAAUCCUAUAUAUAUAUGUGAAUGAAAUGUAUUAGAUCAUCAUAUAAUUAUGAAGCACAUCACUAAUUUGAACCAUCAACAAUUAGGACAAAAAAAGAUGUUUUAACCUUAAAAGAAAUUAUUCGACGAUGAUGUACCGUCUAUUUUUAUUUUGUACAUUUUAUUUUUACUUUGUACCGUCCAUUUUACCAUCAGUAUGUUUAUGUUAAAAUACGGCUAAAAUUAUAUUCCAAUGUAUAGUAGAAUUUCUACGGUAUAUCCUAAUAGUGAUUAUUAAUGAUCAGUUAACCGAGACGCAUUUAAUAUACGAUGAUAAUUAGUACAACAGGCCCGAUGGGCGAAAAAUGACAAUGAAAAAAGAAGAGUUGGAUUGACGAAACGUACCGGUGGCGGAAGCAAGGGCGGAGCAAGCGGCGCGCUCGCAGGAGACGUAUUGGUAAGAAGUGGACUGCGAGGGUUCGAACAUCUUUUCCUUUUGUUUGUAGCAUGAUUUCACGCAAGGUUUGCACUGAGUCCACGUCAGAUCCGUCCCAGUGUCCAUGACCAAAGAUAGUUUCCUGACCGGAGUGCCCAGACCGACGGUGACGAUGUAGUCGCCGGCGCCAACGAGACUGCCGUCCUUGGCGGGGAUGGUGGUGGAUUUGGUGACGCCGACGUCGCUCCUGGAGGCUUUUCUGGACCUGAACUGGAUUGACUUAACCCUGGACUGGUCCUGGAGAAGGAUUUCGUCUGGGCUGGGUUUGUCUUGUUGGGCUUGCGCGCAUGGCCCGUGUUUGUGAACCACUUCUAGCAGAGAUGCCUCGUUCUUCAACCCUGCCAUAAUUUCUCAUACUUAGAAAAAUGCUAAUAUCUAACCAAUUUAUUUUUUAUAGUAUUUGUCCGUGAAUGUCGGUAAGAUAAAUAAUUUUAUCUCACAAUAAAACAGCAAAAUUUUCUUUAUUAAUUAUAAUUUCAUCAUGACACUAAUAAUAACUUUGAAAAUUAUUUAUAAAUAUCAAAGUGUUAAUCAUAUAUAAGUAAAACGUCUCACUUGGUGUUUAGAGGAGGAAUACCUUUGGUUGAAAAAGAAGGGCCGGCGGGAGAGCAAGAUUGAGAUGGGAACAGAGAGGAGAGCUGAAUGGUGUGGAAACUAUGCUGCUCUGCAACAUUGGCAUCGCCAUUGAUGGUGAGAGAAAAGAAGGUAAUUAGAGCUAGGAGGAGGAUGGUGGUGAAGGAGAAGAGGGAAGUAGUAGUAGUAGAAGCAAUUGCCAUUAUUGUCUUCUUCGGAGGCAGUAACCCUAUCCCGAGUUGUGGUGUCUGUGUCCAGUACAGUCACUGGUUUUUAUAACCAAACACACCUACAGUGGAUUUUGGCCUUUGGGGAGACUGACUGUAGCAUGUGGGUUGUAGGUCAUACGGGUUUCAAAAUUUGAAAUGAUAAUGUUUAAUUUCCAUCAAAACUAUAAUGAAUUGAGGCACGUGCCUAUAUAUAUCUAGAAAAAAUCUAGUGAAAAGUAGAUAUCAUCACUGCACUGGUGGUGUCUGCACUUGUGCUGUUAUUUAUCACUUCAAUUUCCUCAUCCACACAUUCAUUCAUCAAAAAGAAUAUCUGACUUUGAUGCAUGGCCCUCCUUAUCAGAAGACACGAAAAAGACAUGUCCCGCUGAUUUGGAGUUUUCGAAGAGGGUGCUACACACUAAACGUUAGACCAUCCAGAGUCUAACAAGUUAAAAAUCGUGUCAAAUUUAAAUUAAAAUACCUUGGCAACCUCACUGUACCAAGGAUGAAACUACUCUCCCAAGGCAUCUGGAUGAUGAAGGUGUGAAAUAUUUGUGUAGAUUUUGAAUCCUUGCCCACAUCCGUUCAGCAGUUUUGCAGGAUAUAAGCUUGUAGGAAGGCUGAAUUCCAGUCUACAGUGAACGAUGUGCGUCGUCUGCGCGUUGAGCUGCACAUUUCUGUUGUCGUCACCAUCCACACCUUGACUGAUCAUGCGCCACAGUUCCUCACCGUCAGCUGAUGAUGUCCUGAUGAAAUGCUCCAUGGCUGUUUUCCACCGAGGAUAGUUGGCUAUUCCUUCAAGGAGAGGAGGCCUACAAUGAAACUUACUACUAUAUAUCAUCUUUAUUGCGAGAAAUCCAUAUAAAUAUUGAUCGAUAAAAGAACAAUAAAGUUUGAAUCAAAUCCAUUUCCUCGAUUAUAUAUCCAACCGAACCAACAAGAACCGAACACGUAGGUAGCUAGCAUUAUCCCUCAUUCUCUCUUCUUCAAAGUUUCACAAAUACAAACGUAAUUCAAUAAUAAUAAACCUUAAACCAUUUGUCCAUGACUGAAAAAUUAAUUACAGAGUAGAUUAACAGAAGAACACAUCAAAGCUAACAAAUCAUAUUCACAAUUCCUCAUCAAAUAGCUUAUCUUAUGUGUUGCACGCUGACAUUUUACUUCUUCCUUCGUUACCGACUUCCUUCUUCUUCUUUUUUCCAGAUUCUGAAACUAAUUUCAUAUAUAAAUAUAUUGCAAACUAAUUCCAUCUAUGUUUCUUCUUUUACCUUAAUUCUCUCCUUUUGGCCUUUCACCUUUGCAAUUACUACUUAGCUGCUACUACAUUAUUAUUAUUAUUAUUAUUACUAUUAUUCAAUUCCAAACUGUACGUACUUAGGCCAAGUACGGCGUCGUUUUCAGUUGCAAUCAGCUACACCCACCGCUGGCAAACCCAAUCUUCCCCGCGGCGCCGUCGUAAAUCACCUCCAGCGUCUGUUGCUGCACGUUCCCGAAAAUUGCCACGUCACCCGCAUUCCCAUUCCCGGCGAAAGCCAGACACACCUGCGACACCUUGCCGGCGUAAAGAAUCCCGACGGCCUGAAUGUCCACCUCAGCGCCGCCGGCAAAGAAGAAUCCGAUCUUCGGCACCGUCACGGACUUGUAUUUGGUGAGGUCGUAGCAUGUGUCCAGAAUGGACAGCGCCGGCGCCGUCGGGUAUCUAGACAUCUGCUGCCGGAAGGCCGUCCGGAGAGCAGAGUAGGCAGCCGGCGGGAGGCGGGUUAUGACGGUGCCGGAGUCGAUGAUGGCCUUGGCGGUGGCGAAGACGGAGGCGGAUACUGGGAGCUUACGGCCGCCGACGCUGAUGGCGGUGAUGUCCAGGCUGUAGAAGUUGGCUACGCCGGAGCCAAUAGGGGUGUAAAUGGUGGGGGAUUUGGUGGUGGAGGCGGGGGGCCCGAAGGAGAGGCCCCCAAAUGAGAGUUAGCCGGUAGAUGAGGCGGUGGACGGUAGGCAGUAGGAGAAGAGCUUGUUGUAUUUGUCGGAGGUUUGAGAGACUAGGGAUAGUUUGUCUCUUCCCAAGCCGAUCAAUCCGGCGGCGCCGCCGAAAUUUCCUUGGUUGUUUUUGCCGCAUCCAAAGUAGAAUUCGUCGAACACGUCGGUUGAGUUCAAGGUGAGUUUCUCCGAGGCGAAGAAUCCUACUGAGAAUGAAGAGUCUCCGUAUUGGAUUCCGUAUACGCAUGUCGAGGAUGAACAUCCCCCAUUGUUUCCUGUAGAUUUAAUUACAAUGUGAAAGAAUAAGUCGGAAUCUUAAGGAGAGGAAUGGCUUUUGGAUUCUAUCCAGAAAAUUUACAUAAAUUUCAGGCGUUAUAUUGGUUAAAAAUAUGGAGUAAAAUUGUAAAAACAUAUGUAUGU